rnacentral:rRNA from 1 species
UGCCAGCCGCCGCGGUAAUACGAGGGGUGCAAGCGUUAAUCGGAAUUACUGGGCGCAAAGCGUGCGUAGGCGGAUUGUUAAGCGAGAUGUGGAAGCCCCGGGCUCAACCUGGGAACUGCAUUUCGAACUGGCAGUCUAGAGUUUUGUAGAGGGUGGUGGAAUUUCCAGUGUAGCGGUGAAAUGCGUAGAGAUUGGAAGGAACAUCAGUGGCGAAGGCGGCCACCUGGACAAAAACUGACGCUGAGGCACGAAAGCGUGGGGAGCAAACAGGAUUAGAUA